rnacentral:rRNA from 1 species
CAAGGAAUAUUGGGCAAUGGGCGAAAGCCUGACCCAGCGACACCGCGUGGGGGAAGAAGGUUCUCGGAUCGUAAACCCCUUUUCUCAGGGAAGAUAAUGACGGUACCUGAGGAAUAAGUCUCGGCCAACUACGUGCCAGCAGCCGCGGUAAUACGUAGGAGGCGAACGUUAUCCGGAUUUACUGGGCGUAAAGAGAGCGUAGGCGGUUGCUUAAGUCGGGUGUGAAAUCUCCUGACUCAAUCAGGAGGGGUCAUCCGAUACUGGGCAACUCGAGGGCGGCAGAAGGAAACGGAAUUCCGAGUGUAGCGGUGAAAUGCGUUGAUAUUCGGAAGAACACCAGUGGCGAAGGCGGUUUCCUAGGCUGUUCCUGACGCUGAGGCUCGAAAGCGUGGGGAGCGAAGCGGAUUAGAUACCCGCGUAGUCCACGCCGUAAACGGUGAACACUUGAUAUGGGGAGUAUCGACCCUCCUCGUGUCGAAGCCAACGCUUUAAG